CCUACGGGAGGCAGCAGUGGGGAAUAUUGCACAAUGGGGGAAACCCUGAUGCAGCGACGCCGCGUGAAGGAAGAAGGUCUUCGGAUCGUAAACUUCUAUCAGCAGGGAAGAAGGAAGUGACAGUACCUGAGUAGGAAGCCCCGGCUAACUACGUGCCAGCAGCCGCGGUAAU
rnacentral:rRNA from 1 species